GCGGAACUAAUGACACACUACUUUUAGAAAGACACAUAUGAGGACAGUCUUGUGCUUCAGGUGUCCAGUAGCCAAUCCUAGGCUUUCUUCGGCAGGCGUGCAGAACCACAGCCUUCGGCGCUAGGAUCCAGAAGGCAGGGCUUUGAUUUCCCAACUAAUUCCUCUGGCAAAACACGAAACGCUCAUAUGCACAACUUCCUGGUUAGAGAAGCGGACCGCGCUGAAUGUGAUCGCAGACUGACUUUUUAGAUGCGCGAGAGCGAGGCGCCGCACACAAGAGGAACUGAACGAGCGCGAGCGUCUGAAAGUGCGUCCGGUUGGGAUUAAUUUGAGAAUGCAAAGAGAAUGUAAAGGACGCCUCGGAGAGCAAGAAGUGUGUGCGGAUUGUGGGCAGUCCGAAAUGUCCCACGAAACAGGCACACGAUUUGUCGCCGGUCAUUGAAAUCGCCUCGAUCACUUGUCAUUAUUUUGGUUAGUCAAGUUAGCGUGUUUCCUUCAUUGACGCUCAAUUUGAUCCGCCGUUCCGUGUCGCUCUAAUCGCGCGUUUGGACAUGUGGAGACUGCAAGGAUCGUGUCGUGUGGGGAUGUUGUGUUUGACUUUAUCAGCCCUUCUCAUCCAACCCAUCAGCUGUCAUCCCGCUUCUCAUGUGGAAACAGAGCAUCGUGGGAGCUCAGCCACUCAAAGAGAGCGGAGGGCAUCUGGGGAACCCUAUUGGGCGUAUUCAGGCACCUACGGACCACGAAGGUGGCCCUCUGCUUAUCCAGAAUGCGGGGAAAGGAAUCAGUCUCCCGUGGAUAUCCCAGAUCAAGACACCCAGGUUUCUCAAGAGUGCCAGGAGCUGACCUUGGAUGGCUUUGAAAACAAGUCGUCAAACAGGACCACCAUGAAGAACACAGGCAAAACAGUGUCUAUUGUUCUGAAGAAUGAUUACUUUGUGAGAGGGGCCGGCCUACCUGGACGCUUCAAAGCAGAAAAAGUGGAGUUUCACUGGGGCAGCACAAAUGGAUCAGCUGGUUCUGAGCACAGUAUCAAUGGAAAGAAGUUUCCAGUAGAGAUGCAGAUUUAUUUCUACAAUUCAGAUGAUUUUGACAGUCUGAGCACCGCGAUAAAGGAGAGACGAAUCAUCGCCGCCUUGGCUGUCUUCUUUCAGGUGGCGAAGAAAGACAACAUUGCAGCUGAGCCCAUCAUCACAGGUCUCAAACGAGUAGUCCAUCACGAGAAGGAAACAAACCUUGGUCCAUUCAUACUGAGGGAUCUGCUGCCAUCAUCUUUGGAAAGUUAUUACCGCUACACCGGCUCGCUCACGACACCUCCCUGCAGUAAAGUCGUGGAGUGGAUCAUCUUCAGUCGACCUGUUUACCUCUCCUACCACCAGCUGGAGGCGUUCUACUCCAUCUUCACCACAGAGCAGCAGGAUCAUGUGAAGUCCGUGGAUUACCUGAGGAAUAACCAUCGGCCCACUCAGGAUCUCGACAGCCGGCAGAUCUUCAAAUCGGCUCUGAUGGAUGCUUGGAUGCCCGACCUCAUGACAGACAGCAUGCUGCCUUUAGCGGAGCCUUUACCGAUUUCCUCCAUUGAUCAGAGCAUUCGGCGCGGUCGUCUGGCGGUCAUCACACUCGUGUCUCCAGAUGUCCUGUAUCUGUUCAGAGUGCAAGCUGUAUGUCAGAGAGACCAGCGCAGUGACUUCAGCCAAACACUUUUAUUCAAAGCAAACACCACAAGGAUAUUUGAGGGCACAAGGAUUGUGAAAACUGGAAUGCCCACAGUUUCCCCCGCCUCUUCGGCAGACAUGGCCCCUAUAAGCUCAGGCUCCUCUACCUGGACGUCCGCCGGCCUCCCCUUUUCCUUCGUCUCCAUGGCAACGGGAAUGGGGCCUCCAUCCAGUGGAGGACAAGCCACUGUAGCAUCUGUGGUGACCAGCACUCUGUUGGCAGGACUGGGUUUCAGUGGCAGUGUGAUUUCUUCCCUGCCAGGAUCAUUUUGGCCAACCCACUCUACAAACUCAGGCCCCACACCCACUCAACAUCCAGCCACUCCCACUGCCGAAAGCACUCCAUCUGACAGCAACAUCCUGACCUCUGAGGACAGCAUUGAAGCAAAUAACAAACAGGAAGAUGACCGUGAAAGAGAGGAGAAAGAGGAGGAAGAAGAAGAAGAGGAGGAGGAGGAAGAGGAACAGGGAGAAGAGGAGAAGAAAAAAAAGGGGAAAGAUGUGACAGUCAAGGACAAAAAGCAGGACAAGACGAGGAACAGCAUAUCCACUGUCACCCGGGACCUGGUGUCAGCAUCCAGCCGGAUGGAGUGGAUCAUCCCCCUGAUGGUGGUCUCUGCCCUCACGCUGCUCUGUCUGAUCAUGCUGCUGGCUGUCCUGGUCUACUGGAGGAGAUUCUUCCAGACUGCACAUUUGUAUAUUGAAGACAGGAACUCCCCCAGAGUGAUCCACAAUGACAGUUUCCCCAUCCUGUCUACAGCGGAUGACCUGGAGGCUGUUUCAGUCAGGCAGUUCAUCAAACACAUCAUGGAGCAGUACUCCAACAACCAACAUGGCUUUUCUCAGGAGUUCGAUGAGGUUCAACACUGCACAUCUGAAAUGAAGAUUACAGCAGAACGUUCAAACCAACCAGACAACAAGCACAAAAACAGAUACAUCAACAUUGUUGCCUAUGACCACAGCAGAGUGAAGUUGCAGCAACUGUCUGGGAAAGACUCCAAGCACAGUGAUUACAUCAAUGCCAACUAUGUAGACGGUUAUAAAAGACCCAGGGCUUAUAUAGCAGCUCAGGGCCCUCUGAAGUCCACAUUUGAGGACUUUUGGAGAAUGAUUUGGGAACAGAACACCACUGUGAUUGUCAUGAUCACCAACUUGGUGGAGAAAGGCAGGAGAAAAUGCGAUCAGUAUUGGCCAUCAGAGAACAGCGAGGUUUAUGGGAACAUAAUGGUGACUCUGAAGAGCACUAAAGUUUAUGCUUACUACACACUCCGCCAUUUCAUCAUGCGCAACACCAAACUGAAAAAGGGUCAGAAGGGAAGGCAUAACGAACGGCUGGUUGUCCAGUACCAUUACACACAGUGGCCAGACAUGGGCGUACCCGAGUAUACACUACCAGUCCUCAAAUUCAUCUCUCGAUCUUCAGCAGCCCGUACGCCAGGCACAGGCCCUGUUCUAGUUCACUGCAGUGCUGGAGUUGGCAGAACAGGCACAUACAUAGUCAUAGACAGCAUGCUGCAGCAGAUAAAGGACAACGGCACUGUCAACGUCCUAGGAUACCUCAAGCACAUCCGAGCUCAGCGCAACUACUUGGUCCAGACUGAGGAGCAGUUUAUCUUUAUCCAUGAUGCAUUAAUGGAAGCUGUGCUUGGCAAAGACACCGAGGUGCCUGUCUGGCAACUCCAUAGUUAUGUCAACAGCAUUCUCACCUCGAGCCCCACAGGACAAACACGCAUGGACAAACAAUUUAAGUUGUUGACGCAAUGCAAUUCUCACCUCACUGAGUGUUUCAGUGCCCAGAAAGACUGCAACAAAGAGAAGAACCGCACCUCGUCGGUCUUGCCAAUGGAACGGGCUCGGGUGGCACUAGCUCCCCUCCCAGGAGUAAAAGGAACCGACUACAUCAAUGCCGCCUACAUUAUGGGCUAUUACAGGAGCAACGAGUUCAUCAUUACCCAGCAUCCUCUGCCCCACACAACCACAGACUUCUGGAGGAUGAUCUGGGAUCAUAAUGCUCAAGUUAUUGUGAUGUUGCCAGACAACCUCGGCCUUACUGAGGAUGAAUUUGUGUACUGGCCCAGCAGAGAGGAGCCCAUGAACUGCGUAGCUUUCACUGUCACCCUCAUUAAUACUGACAGACUCUGCUUAUCUAAUGAGGAGCAACUCAUCAUCCACGACUUCAUCCUAGAAGCCACACAGGAUGACUAUGUGCUAGAAGUCCGACAUUUUCAAUGUCCAAACUGGCCAGAUCCUGAUGCAUCCAUCAGCAGCACAUUUGAGCUCAUCAACAUCAUCAAAGAAGAGGCUAUGGCAAGGGAUGGUCCCACCAUCGUGCAUGAUGAGUUUGGCGCCAUCUCUGCCGGGAUGUUCUGUGCUCUGACCACACUUUCCCAACAACUGGAGAACGAGAGUGCUGUGGAUGUCUAUCAAGUGGCCAAAAUGAUUAACCUCAUGAGGCCUGGCGUCUUCACUGAAAUUGAGCACUAUCACAACCUUUACAAGGCUAUGCUCAGCCUUGUCAGCAGUAAAGACUUCAGACUUGGCUUCAACUACAUGGACAAAAUUGCUGGGAUAGUGGUAACAGAUGAAUCCAACCAGGCUGAGAGCAUGGAGUCCUUGGUGUGAAGUUUUCGGGAAAAUGAGAUGGAACAAAGUGGUUCCUUGAACUUUCCAUGAGGCCUUUUUUCCCAGACUCUUGGUGAAAUAAAAAAGAAAAAAACAACA
rnacentral:lncRNA from 1 species